rnacentral:rRNA from 1 species
UACGUAGGGUGCAAGCGUUAAUCGGAAUUACUGGGCGUAAAGCGUGCGCAGGCGGUUUUGUAAGUCUGUCGUGAAAGCCCCGGGCUCAACCUGGGAGUUGCGAUGGAGACUGCAAGGCUUGAAUCUGGCAGAGGGGGGUAGAAUUCCACGUGUAGCAGUGAAAUGCGUAGAGAUGUGGAGGAACACCGAUGGCGAAGGCAGCCCCCUGGGUCAAGAUUGACGCUCAUGCACGAAAGCGUGGGGAGCAAACAGG